rnacentral:rRNA from 1 species
CACGCCGUAAACGAUGAAUGCCAGUCGUCGGUGCGCAUGCGUAUCGGUGACACACCUAACGGAUUAAGCAUUCCGCCUGGGGAGUACGGUCGCAAGAUUAAAACUCAAAGGAAUUGACGGGGGCCCGCACAAGCAGCGGAGCAUGUGGUUUAAUUCGAAGCAACGCGAAGAACCUUACCUGGACUUGACAUCCCCUGAAUAGCCUAGAGAUAGGCGAAGCCCUUCGGGGCAGGGAGACAGGUGG